CCUGAGCUCUUUUCUCAAAGCCAAACCAGCUGUGAGUUUCUGCUUGAAAAUACAGAAGUAUCCAGGUGAAAGUCAGAAUGAGAAGGGAGAGUACUUUUUGGCUGUGAGCUACAAUGUCGCUUUGGUAUAAAUGCUAGGAGUCUGUCCUCCAGCCUGUGCUUGGUCAACACAUCAGAACAUUUUGCUUGUUGUAUGCCAUUUCCCAACUCAAGCCACUGGUCUCAAGGUAUAAUUUCAGGUAUAGCUAUUCACAGCCCCAGCAGAGAGUAUGCAAAGUAGGAGAAGUGCAGUUUUGUACAGACAUUGGUAGUACAUGUACCACAGGACUCUGUUGCUUUUGCUGCAAAAGACUUAGCACGCAACUACUCCUCUGGAAUGUGAAGAGGUAACAGAACCUGAAUCACCCAAGACCUGAAAUCCAUGUUUAGCCUAGUAAACAAUGGGCUAGUGGUUAACUUGUGGAAAACCAAGCGUGACAAACUGAGGGCAAUUUCUUCAUGUGCUGCACAUCUCAGCUCAGGCUGCCCUCUUACUUGAUCCCCUGUAACCUUCUUUCUGCCUUACAGAAUCCUGUGUUCUCUUGCCCAUUAAGCAAUCAUUCUGAGUUUGGUUUUUAGCUGUCCCCAUGGAGUACAGGAAAGCAAUAAACAGAGAAGAAAACACACACAA